rnacentral:rRNA from 1 species
GCGACCUCACCUCAGGCGGGGCU